ensembl:snRNA U6 U6 spliceosomal RNA
GUGCUCGCUUCACCAGCACAUGUAUUAAAAUUGGAACAAUGCAGAGAUUAGCACAGCCCCUGCACGAGGAUGACACACAAAUUCAUGAAGAAAAGUCUGAUUAU